CAAGAAGGAGAGCCUCUGCUCG
rnacentral:siRNA from 1 species